rnacentral:rRNA from 1 species
CUAGCUUGCUAAUAAUUCUCUAGUGGCGCACGGGUGAGUAACACGUGAGUACCUGCCCCCAAGAGUGGGAUAGCCCCGGGAAACUGGGAUUAAUACCGCAUAAAGCAAUAAAGCAGCAAUGCGCUUGGGGAUGGGCUCGCGUCCUAUUAGUUAGUUGGUGAGGUAACGGCUCACCAAGGCGAUGACGGGUAGCCGGUCUGAGAGGAUGUCCGGCCACACUGGAACUGAGACACGGUCCAGACACCUACGGGUGGCAGCAGUCGAGAAUCAUUCACAAUGGGGGAAACCCUGAUGGUGCGACGCCGCGUGGGGGAUAAGGUCUUCGGAUUGUAAACCCCUGUCAUGUGGGACAUUAAAAGAUAGUACCACAAGAGGAAGAGACGGCUAACUCUGUGCCAGCAGCCGCGGUAAUACAGAGGUCUCAAGCGUUGUUCGGAAUCACUGGGCGUAAAGCGUGCGUAGGCGGUUUCGUAAGUCGUGUGUGAAAGGCGGGGGCUCAACCCCCGGACUGCACAUGAUACUGCGAGACUAGAGUAAUGGAGGGGGAACCGGAAUUCUCGGUGUAGCAGUGAAAUGCGUAGAUAUCGAGAGGAACACUCGUGGCGAAGGCGGGUUCCUGGACAUUAACUGACGCUGAGGCACGAAGGCCAGGGGAGCGAAAGGGA